GCGAGCAUGGCGGAACUGGCAGACGCGCAGGAUUUAGGUUCCUGUACCUCCGGGUGUGUGGGUUCGAGUCCCACUGCUCGCACCU
rnacentral:tRNA from 1 species